rnacentral:rRNA from 1 species
CCCUUAGAUGUUCUGGGCUGCACGCGCGCUACACUGAUGCGCUCAACGAGUUUACGAACUUGCCCGGAAGGGUUGGUUAAUCUUUUUAAAACGCAUCGUGAUGGGGAUAGAUUAUUGCAAUUAUUAAUCUUCAACGAGGAAUGCCUAGUAGGCGCAAGUCAUCAGCUUGCGUCGAUUACGUCCCUGCCCUUUGUACACACCGCCCGUCGCUCCUACCGAUUGGGUGUGCUGGUGAAAUGUUCGGAUCGGCCGUUUGUCGCGGUUUCCGCGUCAUGUGGCUGAGAAGUUCAUUAAACCCUCCCACCUAGAGGAAGGAGAAGUCGUAACA